CCAAUACAAUUUUUUUUUCUACUGUACAGCAUGGUGACCCAGUUACACAUACAUGUAUACAUUCUUUUUUCGCCUAUUAUCAUGCUCCAUCAUAAGGGACUAGACAUAGUUCUCAGUGCUACACAGCAGGAUCUCAUUGCUAAUCCCUUCCAAAGCAAUACUUUCCCAGGGGUGGAGGGGACUGGCGUGGAGCCCACCGGACCUGCGCUCUCCUUUUCCUCCCACGCGCACAGCCCUGCAUUUUUAAAAUGGGAACGUUGAGAAAAUCUUUCUCAUAGGUUGUCCUAAGGCUUGAAUGAGAUAAAGCACUAAAAGGCUUAACUCAACGCUUAUUGGAAAUGUGCCGUGAAAGUCCUGUUUUCAAGUGGUGACACGAAUUGCCCUCCUUUUAUUUUCCGGAACAAUCCAUUGUGCAGGUCAGGGUUGUUUCUGUGGCUCUUUUGUUCGCUAAGCAAACACAUAUUGAGACCUUCUUUGGGAUAAGUGUUGUGCUGGGUGCUGAGGUACAAAGCUGAUACCUCGGUCCUUGUCAUGGGACAUCUCAGCAAUUUGAAAACAAUGUAAAUGAAAUUAUGUUUCUGUGGUUAUAGGUUUUUGAUGCAGAGUUAAACCUUACCAUUUUUGGCUAACUGAAGAAGACCCUGAAUGAUAGCAUAUUUCAGAAUAAUCAGCUCAUUCUUAUAGAAAACUUGAUAAGUACAGAUUUGAAUUAAAUUGAACUUAAUCUUCUCUAAAUACAUACCUAGUAUAAACUAGGUUAACAAGUGUUAUCUAAUAAAGAGGUCCUUGGUGAGAACCAGUUAAGAAUGACUAUAAUUAGUGAUUGUUUAUCAUUGUCAAUUUAAAUCCUUGGGUAUUCCUAAAGUACUUAGAGGUGCUUAAAAAGUGUUUGCCCUCUUAAGAGGCUUUAAAAACAUUUUCCCUACAAUCUUGUUGACACAGUUAAUUAACAGUUAGAACAAUAGACACAAACGCUUUCUUCCCAGGUUGUGCCGGGAUAAACCUCAGUCACAGCACAAGUAUUUCCAAAAUUCCGGUGUGUUUAAUGCAGAGGAAUGAGUGUUGGAUGGGGUCUCAGCUCUGGUUCACAAUGAGCUGAAAAAACAUUAAUCCAAGCGUCUUGCCACCCUUCUACCCAGCUCUACCUAAUGGGCUUUAUUCAAAAAUGUCUCAGAUUUGUAAAUUUUUGUUUUUUGUUUUUCCUAUGGAGCUGCUUUUACUUGUAAUAUCUCUGACAUGGCAAUCUCAGUCCUGAAAUGAGCCAUUAACUAGGGAGCUGUUUGUUUGUGGUUUUUUUUUUUUUUUUUUUUUUUUGCCACCAUUCCUGACAAGAAAGUCAGUACGCAUGUCAGAUCUGUGGUGUGGGACUUCAAAAUAUAAACAAACCUUACAGGAUGAAAAUACUAAUUUUCCAGGUGGAACCAGCUGUAAAUGAUGCAAAAUAUGUCCCUUUCGUUUUCACACGCCCAAAUGUGCAUCAAAGAUAGGCGUAGGCUCCUUCAGGACAGUUUGUUGGAAUACAGGGAAGGGAAGAAAAAAGUGGAGAAAAGGGGAUUUGAAAUGGAGCUGGGGCGAGCGGUGUCUGAAGGUGUGGCUCUGGGAGCCUUCUGGAAAUCUCCACAGUUGUGGGGAGGACUGGCCCUGCCCAUUUCUCACUGGGCAGGAUUUCACGCUUGUCUUUCUUCUGGACACGAGUCAGGUGUGCUGGGAUUGGAGCAAGCCUGCCAGGCCCCUUUGCCACUUGCUUGGCAAUAUAUCUGGAGUCUUUGCCACCCCCCUGGGGAGACUCAGAGCUUGGCCACAGCUGGGAUCUUUCUGUCUGCAGGGCCAUGGGGAGCACAGAGGCUGUUAUUAAGGCUGGGACAAACACCAGAUUCUAACGAUAUGAACAUAACCCUUGUAUGAAAACUGAAAAAGAAAAGAAAAGAAAAAAGACAGUUCUUUAGGUGGAUUUGAGUUCACUUUGGCUUUUCGCUGUCAUUGAAUGCACUCAAUGGCUGGGAGGUACUAGAAGAGCCUGGGUCACAGUCCUCAAGUGAAUUUCCUGGACCUGCACAUCUGCACCCAUGAACUUGACACAAACUCAAAUCCUUGGGCCCUUCCCCAGAUCUGUUGCAUCAGGGGCUCUGGGGCUGAGGCCCAGUGAUUUGUGUUUUCCAAGCUCUCCAGGUGAUCUUGAUGCUGUGGAAGUUUGCAAAUCCCUGGCUUAGAACAGC
rnacentral:lncRNA from 1 species